UGGAGAUAAAUCAAUAAAAGCCUUUCCUUGUAAACUGAUAAUCAGACAAAUAAGAGCAAUUUUAGCUAAAUCGAAAUUAGGAGAAAGACAAGCAAUGCAGUGUUACAUAGUUACAUAGCUGAAAAGAGACUUGCGUCCAUCAAGUUCAGCCUACCUCACAUUUGUUUUUUGCUGUUGAUCCAAAAGAAGGCAAAAAAACCCAGUUUGAAGC